AUUGAACGCUGGCGGCAUGCUUUACACAUGCAAGUCGAACGGCAGCGCGGGCUUCGGCCUGGCGGCGAGUGGCGAACGGGUGAGUAAUGCAUCGGAACGUGCCCAGUAGUGGGGGAUAGCCCGGCGAAAGCCGGAUUAAUACCGCAUACGACCUGAGGGUGAAAGCGGGGGACCGAAAGGCCUCGCGCUAUUGGAGCGGCCGAUGUCGGAUUAGCUAGUUGGUGGGGUAAAGGCUUACCAAGGCGACGAUCCGUAGCUGGUCUGAGAGGACGACCAGCCACAGGGGCCGGGGACCCCCCCCCAGCCCCCUGGGGGAGCGGCAGGUGGGAUUUUUUGGACAUGGGGGGCGCCCUUGACCCACCCUGCCGGCGGGGGGAAAAAAGGCGUGCUGUUCGUACCCCCGUUUUGUGGGGAAAAAAACCCCUGGGCCUAACCCCCCGGGGGGAGGACGGUACCGGAAAAAUAAACCCCGGCUAACUACGGG
rnacentral:rRNA from 1 species